UGACCACAGUUAAACCAUUUUUAAAUGGUUUAAAUGUGGUCACACAGACGCAAUCGCAGCCUCACACGCAGACCUUCACUGAUAACAAUAACACAGUACUACGAGCACAGGAAUGCCUGUGAAACACAAUACAUGAAACCACCUGUGAUGACUGUCUAAAUAAUCCCUGCUUACAGACAGCAAAUCUUAACAAGAUGCAGAUUCAGUGUUCACCAGUUGGGAGUCACAUCAUCAUACUUAUUGUAUCUAUAAGAACUAUUAUACAAGGAAAGAGCACCAAUAUUCAUGAAGAAUCAUGUCUAUGUACAACAAUGAAAAACAACACAUUUUUGUUUAUUUUUAUUUCAUUUUAUACUUUAUUACUCUUCCAUCAUCUUCUUUUCCCUUAACCACAUCCAAGCUUAUUUAAUCAAAAUUCAAUAGAACGAUAAAUAAUCCAGUGGGUUUCCCCUCAUCUGGUGCACAGUGCACAUCCUGAAAACAUACUUAAAAUCCCAACAUUUUUAAUGUCCUUGAGAUUAAUAAAAAUUACUUUGACCCCAACACCAUUAUAGAAAGAAGUACUAAAUAAUAAAAAUGAAAGGGGUUGGCAUGUCUCUGUGUUCAUGUAACUAAUCAGGCUAAAUCCAGAACAGCAUUCUUGACUAUAAAGAAUAAAUAAUUUGCAUAGUUUAGAAAACUAUAUGGCACCUGAAAAAUAAAUAGGUUAAAAAAAAU